rnacentral:rRNA from 1 species
UACGUAGGUGGCAAGCGUUGUCCGGAUUUACUGGGCGUAAAGCGAACGCAGGCGGACUGUUAAGUAGGAAGUGAAAGGUUGGAGCGUCAACUCUGACACUGCCAGUCCUAUAGCUGGCAGUCUUGUAGUACUGGAGAGGAAAGCGGGAACGACACGUGUAGCGGUGAAAUGCGUUGAUAUGUGUCGGAACACCAUGGCGGAAAAGCAGGCCUUUCUUGGGACAAGAGACUGACGCUGAGGGUUCGAAAGCCAAG